AUUGAACGCUGGCGGCAGGCCUAACACAUGCAAGUCGAACGAGUGGCGGACGGGUGAGUAAUGUCUGGGAAACUGCCUGAUGGAGGGGGAUAAAUACUGGAAACGGUAGCUAAUACCGCAUACCAUCAGAUGUGCCCAGAUGGGAUUAGCUUGUUGGUGGGGUAACGGCUCACCAAGGCGACGCUCCCUAGCUGGGCUGAGAGGAUGACCAGCCCCACUGGAACUGAGACACGGGCCCGAAGCCCAAGGGAGGCAGCAGGGGGGAAUAUGGCACAAUGGGCGCAAGCCUGAUGCAGCCCUGCCGCGGGGAUGAAGAAGGCCUUCGGGUUGUAAAGUACUUUCAGCGGGGAGGCGUUACCCGCAGAAGAAGCACCGGCUAACUCCGUGCCAGCAGGCGCGGUAAUAC
rnacentral:rRNA from 1 species